GCCGUGGGUUGCUCUGGUUGCACAGGUCUGCUCCUUCCCACCUGUCUGCGUUUUUUCCUGCUUGCUGGUCUUGAGGACACAAUGAGAUGGAAAGGCAUUGGAGAUGGGUGUGCUGAAGGGGAGAUGUGCUAGUGUUUGCUGAACACAAGACAAUCCCCUGACGUACCUAACUGGUAGUGUUACCCACAGCCGUGGGUAUUUAAGAAGAAGGUGGAACUCCAUGGGAACGUCCCGUGCCAUUCAUGGUGAGCAGCAGGCGUUGCACACGCCAGGAUACGCAGCUACCUGGGCCACGCUGCUCAGCACGUGCUGCCCCUGUGUGGGACUGCUGUGGAAUAGGAAGCUGAAUGCUGCAGAGCAUUUGGAUGAGCACACAACGGAAAGCAAAAGCCAUAUAAAUAUGGAAAGCACAGGAGAAAGCAGCAAAUUAACACUACAGAGGAUUGUGUGGAUCUGUCGUGUGUAGAAUUCAGAAGUACGCCCAAGCCCAUUGCUUGCUGGGAGACAGUGGGAGACAAGAACCACGUCUGUGUCUACGUGUGUAUAGAUAUGUGUACAUAUUUACUUAAAAGAGAGCUAGAUGAGGACCUGUCCCAAGCAUGUCAGGAUCCUGAAAGGGCGUCAGACAGCAGAAAGGCAUUUCCUGUGCUCAUCUCUUUCUCUGCCUGCCCUUAUUUUGGAAAGUGAGAAGCACCUCAGAUUUGAGGGUGUCCUUUGUUCAGACCAAUAGGGAAUGAACCUGCGGGAGCUGCCUGCCCAGCGCCUCCACCUGGCCGUCCUUCCUGCCCCGAGGAAUCGCACCUCCUCCAAGGGCAAGUGACAGACCCUUGGGACAGCUCAACUCUUAUCUGCCAUGUGUUUAUUUCCGCAUCCUUACGGCAGUGGUGAGCAUGGCAGGCCUGGCGCUGGGUCAUGUGGAAUGCGGUCAUCUGCUGCUCCUUCCCUGUAGAUACCUGCUCUUGGAGCUCUGUCACUUCACCCACUCUUAAUUCAUUUAACAUGGACGUUAAUUGAAGCUACAAAGUGGUUCAAUAUAUACAUCAAAAUUGAAAUCCCAGUCGUCUUUAGCUGCCUAAUUUAUGUGUGGGCUUUCCCUCCCAGCGCUUUCCUUAGAGCUGAUCAAUAUUCGUUCUUUUUUACUGCUUUUUUUCCUCCUUUAUUUAGGGUUGGAUCUCUUGGUCUGCUCAGCAGAGCAUCUGUUUCCACAUACAAAGGUGGUUCUUGACAUUGGAGUUGUGUUGAGAUUUUUGUAGUGAGCUCAGGCUUUAGCACUGAAUCUCUGUUUAAUAUUUCUCUUUGAAAUGUUUCAUCCUUUUUUUUCCUUCAACUCUUGUGCUGUACAUGUUAACUUUGUGUUUUGUGGGAACUGAAAUGGAAGGAUCUCUUUGUAACCGCUGUAAAUAGCCCCAGCAUAAUUCAGGGAAGCACUUCAGCAUCUCCGUAAGUGUAGGACUGGAUAUGGGUAUUUUGCUGGGGUAAAUGACUGCAUUCCAAGUUGUGUGGUUUUUUUUUCCCCUCCUUCCCCCCUCUGAAUUGCAUCAGUAUGAGGGGGGAAAGAAAGGCAAUCAGGUCUAGUGUAGGUUGGUUGGUUUGUUUUCCCCAAAGGACCAGCCUGGAUUUUUCCUCUGCAAAGUAAUGCAGAAUCUGCUCUUCAGGGUAACUCCAUUGAGAGGAGCAGCGUGUGCUGUGGCUUUCUGCCACAUUUCUUACCUUACAGCGUGCACUGUCAGCUUGUUGCCCCUUACUCUCGAGUCAUGAGAGGGGACUGCCCAGUUUUCCCUUGCCUGGGUGAGUCAGCCCAGCUGAGACCUUCACCCUCUGUCCAUGAGCAGUCACUCCUUCUCCCCUGUGGGGUCUCUGGGGGCUGCGUGCCCUUGGGAAAGGCAGAAGCACACAGGGGGAGGUGCUGCUGCGUCAGGUGAGAGUCAGUGCGGACCCUUGGAUUCACACCAAGCACGUGAAUCACAGUGAUUUACAGGAAGAUCCUUGAUGAGUCAAUUAUUUGAAUAGCUGAACUCUCUUCUUUUCUACGCACUGAGGAUUUCUUUUAUCUCCUUGUUAAAAGUGAACGUUUCUUUCUUUGCUCUAUCUCUGCACAGCAUGUCUUGUUGUUACAUUUAAGUUGCUGUAAACUCUAAAUCAAUAAUCCCAUUAAGAAGAAAUAAGAGGUCUAGUAGCAAUAAGCACAAUUGCAGAGUUAAUUAGAUAAUCUUAUUUCGAGAUAGACAGUGGAGCUACAGCAUCUUUGGGAAGCAAAAUCGAUGCAGGCGUGAUGUGGUGGGCUUAGUUUUGGGAUGGGCUCUGGCUGUCUUUGGGGAUCCCAGGGCUUGUGCUGCCUGAGCACACCGCAGCUGCAGAACCUUUUGGUUGCUGCUAUGGCAUCAAACAGUGUAAUGUGGUGUACGCUGGGAGCAGUCAGGUGUCUGGGAGGGGUAUGGAUUCCAGAAAGCAACAGUGCAUCUUAAAGCGGCAUUUUUAUGCUGCUAACUACUUAUGUUACAGUGUUUAAAAAACUAAACGCUGGUUUUUAGUUUAAAACUGAAAACUGUUUCUUUGGAAGAAGUGGAUGAUGGUUUUUCUCAUCUCUUCUUUCAACACUGAUUUCUAAACAGGCGCCUUACUGCUGAGCUCUGGGCUGGUUUUGGGCCGUGCAGCCCCCAGGACUGCGGCUGAGCUGCUCCGCCACGUUGGGGAGAGCCCCAGGAGUGGGAGCCUUUCCUACCACAGACCUUUGGCAGCUCCUUUCAAGCAGAGUUGCACCCCAUUCCUCACCACCCCCAUGUUAAGAGCUAUUGAAGACAAUGAAAUCGAAGCACAGGAAUGAUGGGCCUCCUUGAUGUUUCAUUAUCAUUAAACAUCAUCUCUGCUGUGCUGUGGAAUAUCUGGU
ensembl:lncRNA